UUUACUCCUAACAUUGCUCUCUCCAUGGCUCUUUGUGUCUUCAUUAUUUUAUCCAUGUUUGCCUUGGUCAAGGUCCAUGUUUGGCAUGCGUAUGUGAGAAUUGGGAGUAUGCACUUGUGACGUUCCGUCACUUAUCUAAUUAAUUAUUAAUGGGAACACCUUAUUGGAUUAUUGUUAAAAUUAUUUUCUUAUAAUAUUAAAAACCCGUUCGCACAAAAUUCCCUUAGCGACGUCAUACUGGUGUAUCGUGGCCACAUUGAUAUUUCGUGAGGUUGGUACUGACGCCUGUCGCCAGCUGUCACGAGGUCGGAACGGUGAAGGGAGGCCAUUGACUUGGGAGUGUCAUGUGAGUGCAGAUGGCGGCGUGAAUUUCUUUGUAAAUUAAAUAAGUUAUUUCCUGUUGCAUAGUUCAAUUAUUGCUAUUGCAAGUUAUAUUUGUUUUUUUGGGUGAAUUAAAGUGACGGAAUAAUGGAACUGUAAGAAAACGGAUCUCACGCCGCCAUUCUGGAGAAAUCUCAUUACUGAUGGUAAACCCUCUCUAACACCGAGAGCAGACACUUCCAACGUUCGAUCAAUCAGGGAACAAGCCAAAGGAUACCGUCUCCCAUUUGUUUUUGUAUUGAUUCAUCAUCCUGCACCCUCCGAGGGUAGUUUCAUUAGCUAUUGGGCAGUUGCACCACUUCGGUGAUAACUUCAUUCCACGGAUUUGGUACCAGACACCAAGGAUCGUUGUUGGAACAUGUGAAAAGGGGUUUGUUUUGGGGGACAUUUGUUCAUACCAGUUAAAGACAUAUUUUUUUUUUCUAGUAAUAUUCAGGACAUUUCAUACUUUCAUAAUUUAAUUACACAUAUAUGUUUUUCUUUCUCCACAAAUUUAAGUACAUUUUAGAUAUAACAGCCAUACCUUACAGUUAGUAGUGUUCCCCAAAUUUAUAUAAUUCCUGGUAGAAGUUUCGAGCUCGAAUAUUCUCCACCUACAUGUUCUUUUCACUUGGUUUGUAUUAAUUUUAGACUUGUUUCCUCAUUUAAUUUAAAAAUAAUAUUAGUUCAAUUCACCUAAAUUUAAAAUCAUUUAACUUGCUUCAUAAUUUUCAAUUUUUAUUAGAUUUUUUGGUAAAUAUUAUUUAACUUUCGCUAUUAAACUUUUUAUAUUAAAUUCGAAUAAAUCCCUAAUACCCAUCCCCUCAGGAAGGUACUAGUUUUACUUGCUGUUAGUAUUUAGAACCACUAGUCAGAAAAGGAUCUUUGUAUCCAGUACUAAGUUGGUUCAUUUAGGGACUUGUUACCCAUCAACUCAUUGAGAGUUGUAUAAUAUAUAUUAUAUACAUUAGGUAUUUUCAUUGUUCUAAUAUCAGGUAGUAUUCAAUUAGGGUGUACGUAUUACAAUCGUACAAGUGUUAUUUGGUGAAGGGUUCAUACUAAUCUAGGUGUAGUUUGUACUUCCUAUAUUAGAGGUACUCAUUUGUAAAAAUUUUCUAACCUCAUUCACAUUAUUGUUACAUUAUUUAAUUGUAUAAAUCUGUAAAUGACUUUCACUAGUAUCUACCAUUUCUUGUCAUUUUAGAGUCACAUACUAGUCACUUGUUUUAACUCAGAGAUUGUGAAUAUCUAGUAGUUAUAUUUAAUAAAUAUAUACAUUUAUUGUGAA
rnacentral:lncRNA from 1 species